UGGGUGGGUCCUGGACCCGGCAGACCGCUCUUCCGCCCCGCGCGGGGGUGUGCGGAGGUGUGCCGGGGUGCGCGGUGCGCGGUGCGCGGGGGUGCUCGCCUUGCGCGCGUGCAAGGGAUGAAAACCUCAACAGCUAGAUCCUAUUACAGCCUUCGGCGCACAGAGGAACCCCAGUUAAAGACCCUGCUCCAUAGGCGCCUGGUAGGACAGUAAAAACUUUCUGCUGUAAGGCCCAUUCGUCCUCCAAAGGAGUCCUGACCCAUCUUCUGUAAAAGAUAAAGCCUUCUAGCUCACUUUUUAUCUGAAGCUGAAAGUCCCGAAAUGCUGGCACUCCCUAGAGAUCCGCGGAGUGCUGGGUGAUCGGAUUCUCUGGAGCAUUUGCUGUCUAGACACUUCUCAAACUUUUAUCAAAAGCCCCCAUGUCUCACCCUGUUGGCGAGGUUCCUCUCUUGGAAACUCGCGCACCGGCCUCCUCGGCAGCGGACGCUGUUCUAAAUCAACUCUGAUCUUUUUUGCGUUCCUUGCCUGUUAUUGAAAUGCUUUUUUUCCGCCGGUGGCACCGGGCUGUGCCUGGGGGCACAUCUCGUGGCACACCCUUGGUUACAGCUACCUUCGGGGCCUGCUGGAGAGGAGCUCCUGUGGGGUUCCACUGCUCUGGACGGGCUGGCGGGACGUGGGUGGCGUUGCAGUCCCCAGUGUGAACAGCUUGGUCAGCCUGGAUUGCCACCUCUGCAGGGCUGCAUCUAACCACGUUUCUGAAAAGGGACACAGAGAUGUAAUGGAUAUGUAGUAUCUGAAACUUCGAGGUGACACAUGGUUUCUCUUCAUCCUCAUGAGAGUGCUAGGCAAGGAUGACUACCCACACCCACAAGAGACUGCAGCUUAAUAAGUGGGAGAUGGAUGUUCAAGACCAUGUUGAUAGGUGGUCAGCAGGGACCCAGUCCUCUGCAUGCUCUUUCUGCACAAUAGACACUGACCAUGAGUGUGAAGACCCAGAAAACAUCUGAGAGGAGAAGACAUGUUCUCCCAACGAGGAUAGGACCACGCCCCGUCCUGGGACAACUGCCCUCAAUCUGUUCUCCGGUGGCAGGGCCUCAGCCUCUCAGCCCAGCAGCUCUCAGGUCUCCGGAAGGACCUCACACCCGGGAAAGCCCCCUGAAAGGCUGUGAGCAUCAACUGGAUGCUAUUUGCGUCUGAUAACUUCGGAGAUUUGUUUCUAAAUAAAAUUAGUCCCA